CAGAAGCAGCAGGCGCGCAAAUUACCCACUCCCGGCACGGGGAGGUAGUGACGAAAAAUAACGAUACGGGACUCAUCCGAGGCCCCGUAAUCGGAAUGAGUACACUUUAAACCCUUUAACGAGUAUCCAUUGGAGGGCAAGUCUGGUGCCAGCAGCCGCGGUAAUUCCAGCUCCAAUAGCGUAUAUUAAAGUUGUUGCGGUUAAAAAGCUCGUAGUUGGACUUGUGUCCCACGCUGUCGGUUCACCGUUCGUCGGUGUUUAACUGGCAUGCCCGUGUGGACGUCCUGCCGGUGGAUGCGGUCGGCCGCGGGCCUCUGGUCUGCGCGUCGGCGGUCCGAUUCAAUCCUACCGCGGUGCUCUUCACCGAGUGUCGAGGUGGGCCGGCACGUUUACUUUGAACAAAUUAGAGUGCUCAAAGCAGGCAGUUGUUCGCCUGAAUAUUGUGUGCAUGGAAUAAUGGAAUAGGACCUCGGUUCUAUUUUGUUGGUUUUCGGAACUUGAGGUAAUGAUUAAUAGGGACAGACGGGGGCAUUCGUAUUGCGACGUUAGAGGUGAAAUUCUUGGAUCGUCGCAAGACGAACCUAAGCGAAAGCAUUUGCCAUGAGUGUUUUCACUAAUCAAGAACGAAAGUUAGAGGUUCGAAGGCGAUCAGAUACCGCCCUAGUUCUAACCAUAAACGAUGCCAGCUAGCGAUCCGCCGAAGUUCCUCCGAUGACUCGGCGGGCAGCUUCCGGGAAACCAAAGCUUUUGGGUUCCGGGGGAAGUAUGGUUGCAAAGCUGAAACUUAAAGGAAUUGACGGAAGGGCACCACCAGGAGUGGAGCCUGCGGCUUAAUUUGACUCAACACGGGAAACCUUCACCAGGCCCGGACACCGGAAGGAUUGACAGAUUGAGAGCUCUUUCUUGAUUCGGUGGGUGGUGGUGCAUGGCCGUUCUUAGUUGGUGGAGCGAUUUGUCUGGUUA
rnacentral:rRNA from 1 species